GAUGAACGCUGGCGGCGUGCCUAAUACAUGCCAGUCGAGCGAACGGACGAGAAGCUUGCUUCUCUGAUGUUAGCGGCGGACGGGUGAGUAACACGUGGAUAACCUACCUAUAAGACUGGGAUAACUUCGGGAAACCGGAGCUAAUACCGUAUGAUAUUUUGAACCGCGUGGUUCAAAAGUGAAAGACGGUCUUGCUGUCACUUAUAGAUGGAUCCGCGCUGCAUUAGCUAGUUGGUAAUGUAACGGCUUACCAAGGCAACGAUGCAUAGCCGACCUGAGAGGGUGAUCGGCCACACUGGAACUGAGACACGGUCCAGACUCCUACGGGAGGCAGCAGUAGGGAAUCUUCCGCAAUGGGCGAAAGCCUGACGGAGCAACGCCGCGUGAGUGAUGAAGGUCUUCGGAUCGUAAAACUCUGUUAUUAGGGAAGAACAUAUGUGUAAGUAACUGUGCACAUCUUGACGGUACCUAAUCAGAAAGCCACGGCUAACUACGUG
rnacentral:rRNA from 1 species